rnacentral:rRNA from 1 species
GCAGUCGAGCGAAUGGAUUAAGAGCUUGCUCUUAUGAAGUUAGCGGCGGACGGGUGAGUAACACGUGGGUAACCUGCCCAUAAGACUGGGAUAACUCCGGGAAACCGGGGCUAAUACCGGAUAAUAUUUUGAACUGCAUGGUUCGAAAUUGAAAGGCGGCUUCGGCUGUCACUUAUGGAUGGACCCGCGUCGCAUUAGCUAGUUGGUGAGGUAACGGCUCACCAAGGCAACGAUGCGUAGCCGACCUGAGAGGGUGAUCGGCCACACUGGGACUGAGACACGGCCCAGACUCCUACGGGAGGCAGCAGUAGGGAAUCUUCCGCAAUGGACGAAAGUCUGACGGAGCAACGCCGCGUGAGUGAUGAAGGCUUUCGGGUCGUAAAACUCUGUUGUUAGGGAAGAACAAGUGCUAGUUGAAUAAGCUGGCACCUUGACGGUACCUAACCAGAAAGCCACGGCUAACUACGUGCCAGCAGCCGCGGUAAUACGUAGGUGGCAAGCGUUAUCCGGAAUUAUUGGGCGUAAAGCGCGCGCAGGUGGUUUCUUAAGUCUGAUGUGAAAGCCCACGGCUCAACCGUGGAGGGUCAUUGGAAACUGGGAGACUUGAGUGCAGAAGAGGAAAGUGGAAUUCCAUGUGUAGCGGUGAAAUGCGUAGAGAUAUGGAGGAACACCAGUGGCGAAGGCGACUUUCUGGUCUGUAACUGACACUGAGGCGCGAAAGCGUGGGGAGCACACAGGAUUAGAUACCCUGGUAGUCCACGCCGUAAACGAUGAGUGCUAAGUGUUAGAGGGUUUCCGCCCUUUAGUGCUGAAGUUAACGCAUUAAGCACUCCGCCUGGGGAGUACGGCCGCAAGGCUGAAACUCAAAGGAAUUGACGGGGGCCCGCACAAGCGGUGGAGCAUGUGGUUUAAUUCGAAGCAACGCGAAGAACCUUACCAGGUCUUGACAUCCUCUGAAAACCCUAGAGAUAGGGCUUCUCCUUCGGGAGCAGAAUGACAAGUGGUGCAUGGUUGUCCUCACCUCCUGUCGUGAGAUGUUGGGUUAAUUCCCCCACCAACCGCACCCCUUGAUCUUAGUUGCCUCAUUAAGUUGGGCACUCUAAGGUGACUGCCGGUGACAAACCCGAAGGAAGGGGGGGGAUGACGUCCAAUCAUCCAUCCCCCUUUUACCGGGGGUUCCCCCCUUCUUUAAAUGGAGGGGAACAAAAAAACUGCCAAAACCCCCGAGGGGGGGGGUAAUUCUCUAAAAACCCUUUU